rnacentral:lncRNA from 1 species
CCUGUUACUGAGUAAAAAACCCUUUUGUUAACAGGAAAAUGAAUCAGGCCUUCCUUGGGCAGCUAGAUUGUUAUAGGUGGGUCACCACGCCUAUGAAGGCUUAGUCUCUGGGGAGUCAGUGUGACAGAGCACUUGAACUUACCUGCCCAAGCAGAACAGCUUACAGAGCAGAGGUAUGGAAAACAACCAGAUGAAUUAGAUUUAGCAACAGUCCCAACUGCCUCUAGGGAAGAAAAGGACAGGCCCUUAGGAGAAAACAAGACUUUCUUCAGCAGCUGAAGGAACAAAAACACAGCAGCAACAGGGAGGAGAAAGACAGGCCAUAGCUUCUCUGUAUUACAUAACCUGAACUUGACUUGAGCACCAUGACAGGAAACUCCUCCACUUUUUGUAAAAAACAUUAACUUUUUACAGAGGUCGGGAACUCGUUUGCAGCUACACCCUGGCUGCUCUGCGGCCUUCCCUUGCUGAGGCUGGGAAUUCCAGGCUCAGCCAAGGAGAAACAGCUGGGUGCAAUUACUGACUAGCAGGUGCAGAGGAGCCUUCAAAAACAGACUGAGGGCUAAUGUUUCAGAGACAGUCUCACUCUGUGAAGAGGACAGCAGAGAUGUCUACAAGGAAAACACAGCUGACAUUUUCUCUACUGAAGAACUUGUAUGUGGAGAUUUCUUUCCUGGUGCCUCUGAAUGGAGGGAAGAUUGUUUGCAUGAACUACAGGAACCUCAGGAACACGGGAAAGGGCGCUGGAUGCUAAGUCAAAUGUCACUUCACCAUACUAUAAUAAUUGCAAGCCCCCCAAGUGAUCCCCUGUGGCACAGAUGACUUUCCCCUUCACUUAGCCCCUCGUCCUGCAAAGGCACAAAUCAUCAGACUGCAGUGACCCAAUUGGAGAACAUGCUCCAACUGUUCAUGCAAGACAGUCACAUACUGGGCUGGGGCCUGCAAGGAGAGCAAACGCUGUGGUUACCGUAAUUGUCUCCAGAGCCACGUUCCUGUGACUCUUUCUGAGGAAA